rnacentral:rRNA from 1 species
UACGUAGGGGGCAAGCGUUGUCCGGAAUCAUUGGGCGUAAAGAGCGUGUAGGCGGCCAGAAAAGUCCGCUGUGAAAACUCGAGGCUCAACUUCGAGCUGUCGGUGGAAACUUUCUGGCUAGAGUCCGGAAGAGGAGAAUGGAAUUCCUGGUGUAGCGGUGAAAUGCGCAGAUAUCAGGAAGAACACCCGUGGCGAAGGCGGUUGUCUGGGACGGUACUGACGCUGAGACGCGAAAGCGUGGGGAGCGAACAGG